AGGUCACAAACAACACCUUCAACCGACAUAAUGGUAUCAAGAAAAAAGCAUAAGAUGUCAACUAAGAGUGAUAUAACAUCAGACUUAUCUAGCAAGAAAAAAAGGAAAACAUCCAAACUAGAGAGUAAAAAAUUAGCAAAGCUUAUCGACAAAAAGUUGAAUUUGUCAGAUACAAGUAAAACAGCUAAAAGAUCAACGUCUAAAUCAGAAAAAGAAAAACUUGCCGCACUGUUUGGAGCUAAAGUCACAUUGUCAUCAUCCAAACCAGGAACACAGAAUCAAAAAGGAAUUGGUGAAACUGUGUCAGCAUCAGAGACAAGAGGAUCUGAAGGAAACGUACAAGGGGUUUCUAAUAAAAAGAAAUCAAAAAAGAAGAAAAAUAAGGAGAAUUCAUGUCCCAAAGCUGAAGCUAUAGCGUCAGUGACAGUACAAAACCAAGGUGAUAUUAAAUUGGCCACCUUGUCUAACAAGAGGAAGAGGAAAUCACCCAAAUCAGACAGUGCAAAAUUAGCAAAGUUGAUGACUAAAAAGCUGAACUUGUCAGAUACAGCCACGGCAUCAGAAAAACAAAAACUUGCAGCAUUAUUUGGAGACAAAGUCACAUCGACACAGAACCAAGAAAGAUUUGAUGCAGCAUCAACAUUGUCUGAGGAGACAAGUGGAAGUGCAAGGAAUAUAACAAAAGGCUCCAAAAAAAAAUCAAAGAAGAAGAAAAAUAAAGAGAACUCUAGUCCAAGUAAUGAUGUCCAAGAGACAGUGAAAAAUUCAAAGGAAAUGGCCAAAACACAAGCAGAAGAAGACAUGGAUGAUGAUGAAAGUGAAGGAGAGGAUAAACGUGUUGAUAAAAUGGCCGGUUUCUGUCCUCCUCCAGGAAUAGUUCACGAGUCACUCUUGAUGGAAAAAAAAAAGAAGAAGACAAAAAAGCCAGAUCUUGAUGAAGAAGAGGAAAAGCCGAAGGGAAUAAAAAGCAAGCGUGAUACAAGUAAAGACUGCAAGACAAUAUUUGUUGGUAACUUGCCAGUAAAUACAGAUAAAAAAGAACUUCACAAGUUGUUUAGGAAGUUUGGAUCCAUUGAGACUGUCAGACUUCGAUGUGUGCCGAGAUCAGAUACAAAGUUACCUAAACGAGCUGCUGUCAUCCUGAAGGACUUUCAUCCAGAGAGAGACAACAUCUGUGCUUAUGUCUGCUUCAAGGAGGAGGAGAGUGCUCAGAAAGCACUCAAGAUGAAUGGAAAACUCGUUAAGAGCUUUCACAUACGUGUAGAUAUGUCCAAUCAUGAUCCAAAGACAGACUUCAAGCGCUCAAUUUUUGUUGGAAAUCUUCCUUUAGAUAUAAAGGAAGAGGAUGUGAGAAGUCAUUUUGAAAGUUGUGGAAAAAUCAGAAAUGUUCGAGUCAUUCGAGACAGCAAGUCAGGAGUUGGAAAGGGAAUCUGUUAUGUAACAUUUAAGUCAAAGGAUUCUGUGGGUCUGGCAAUGAAACUAAAAGGCACAGAAUUGUCAGGACGUAAAGCUCGCAUAGAGUAUUGCCUGGAAAAUCCCCAAAAAGAAAAGAAAGUGAAAAAAGAUAUGAAGAGACCUCAGCGAAGGGAUGACAAGCGAGAGAAAAAGCAGAAAUUUCACACUAGGCCCAGUAAUGUAAAAAGUAGUGCUGUCUUUCAGAAGAAAAUUCGCUCAAAACAAAAGAAGAAAAGGAAGAGUCGACAACAUCGAUAAAUGUUGACUCUGUUGAAAGAAAAAUAAUACUUGUCAGUAUAUCUAUUAAACAGAAAUACACAGAUUGGUUCUUGGACAUUGAUACAAACAUGCAUAUUUAAAAAAUAAAUUGUUGUUUAAUGG
rnacentral:misc_RNA from 1 species